rnacentral:rRNA from 1 species
GUCUUAAUGUAAAUAUUUAUUAAGUCUGGCCUGCUCAAUGAUUUUUAUAAUUAAAUAGCCGCAGUAUUUUGACUGUGCGAAGGUAGCAUAAUCAUUUGUCUUUUAAUUGAAGGCUUGUAUGAAUGGUUGGAUGAAAGAGUAUCUUUCUUUAUAUUAAAUAUUGAAUUUAAUUUUUUAGUCAAAAAGCUUAAAUUUAUAAAUGGGACGAGAAGACCCUAUAGAAUUUUACUUUUUUUAUGUUAAAUUUAUUUUUUAGAUUUUAUAAUAUUUAAUAAAUUAAAAAGUUUUGUUGGGGUGACAAUGAGAUUAAAUUAACUCUCAUAUUUAUUUUAUUUUAUAAUGAUAAUUUUAAAGAUCCUUUAUUAAGGAUAAAUAGAUUAAAUUACCUUAGGGAUAACAGCGUAAUUUUUCUGGAGAGUUCUUAUCAAUAGAAGAGUUUGCGACCUCGAUGUUGGAUUAAAAUUAGAUUUAAGUGCAGUAGCUUAAUUUCUAGGUCUGUUCGACCUUUAAAUUUUUACA